rnacentral:rRNA from 1 species
GGGGACGUAACAAAGCGACCCAGGAAUGCUUGGGCGUGCCUCCACCCACGCCGGCGUCGGCGGGCGUAUUUCGCCUCACAGUAGGUCGCCGCGACCCGUUGCUUUUGGGGACGUCGAAGGCCCGGACGGAUUGGUACCCUACCGGCUGGGGAUGCGGCUUCGGCUUCUCCUCUUGUCCGGUGGGCGAAACCGCCGGUGUCCUGGCUGCCCUGCGACGGUCGUAGAGACGAGCCCUCCCCAUUCGUGGGGGGCGGCUCUCGCGGCGUGCAAAAGGUCGGUGAUCCACCCGACCCGUCUUGAAACACGGACCAAGGAGUCUAACAUGUGUGCGAGUCAGUGGGCGCACUAAACCCAGAGGCGUAAUGAAAGUGACACGGGUUCGGCUGUCGCCUCGUGUGGCAGCCGGACUCAGGGCCGAUCCCUCACCGGUUGCCCUCGCCUCUCUCCCGCGUCUCGGUACGCCGGGUGAGCUAUUUUCCCCGGCCAAUGCUGCGGCUCGGGGGGUGGCGGGGUGCGAUGGUGUCCGUAAAAAAGAGCCUGCUGUUGCAGGGGGGCGCAGGCCCGGGACUUGCCAGGACGCCGCGAGACUGUCACUUUGCUGUGAGGCUCCAGGGCCGAUCAGCGGGUCAUGCGUGCAGUCGGCAAGUACCAUGAGCAGACAUGUUGGGACCCGAAAGAUGGUGAACUAUGCCUGGCCAGGAUGAAGCCAGAGGAAACUCUGGUGGAGGUCCGUAGCGAUUCUGACGUGCAAAUCGAUCGUCGGAGCUGGGUAUAGGGGCGA